rnacentral:lncRNA from 1 species
GAUCGUGCAUCAGCCUAUUCAUGUCAUUCGUGCGGGUCUCAGUAAGCACCACUACAUGAUGCUGCCUGAUGGCAUCUUGCAAAGCACAUGUCUUGUCCAUGGCAGCCCCUGGAUCAGUCACAGGGUCAGGCAAGCCAUUGACGUUGUGAACUAACAGCUUCAGCCGCCGUCCUGGCUGAAGGUAAACCCCCUAUUCAUUGAAACCGCGAGCAUUUUCCUCGCACAACCUCUGC